UCUCGAGCUUCGCACCCCAAGUUAAGCGCUCACGCUUAUCGGCUGUGGUUUAGAAACAGGCUAAGGGUCUGUAGCUCAGUCGGUUAGAGCACCGUCUUGAUAAGGCGGGGGUCGUUGGUUCGAAUCCAACCAGACCCACCACCCUAACAAGUGCUGACCGAGCUUCGAACUCAAGUCAGGCAUACGGGGGAUUAGCUCAGCUGGGAGAGCACCUGCUUUGCAAGCAGGGGGUCGUCGGUUCGAUCCCGUCAUCCUCCACCAUCAAUCUUCAAUGCACAGCGUUCAAGUGAUUUGAGCAUUGCGCAUUGGCGAUUGCUAGCCAGUUGAUGCUGUGGGUAUGGCAAGACACCCAUCGGCUAAACGUUCUUUAACAAUCAGGAAGAAGUAGUAAAGAGAUUAUCUGAAAGCACUUAGAGAUGGGUGUGAGUAGGGUAGUCAGGGUAGUGAUUGUAUCGAUGUAUCUCAAGCCGUCGAAAGACGGAUUUGGAAUACGGCACAACGCGAAUACUCAGCCUGUAGCGUGUGAGUUGAAAGUAAUUGAGACACACUCGUUAUAGGGUCAAGCGAACAAGUGCAUGUGGUGGAUGCCUUGGCGAUCACAGGCGAUGAAGGACGCGGUAGCCUGCGAAAAGCUUCGGGGAGCUGGCAAACGAGCAUUGAUCCGAAGAUGU
rnacentral:misc_RNA from 1 species